UAUAAGUGUAUGUACACAUAUAUGCAUAAGUGUAGAUAGUGGGUGUUGGCGGAUAAGGGUGGGGCGGAAAUGAUCACGCCACCCUACGUCACACACACACCAUUGAACUUUCCAUACUCCUUUUAUUGCCAUCGAUAAGUAAUCGGUAGCACCUACAUUAUAGUAUCUAAGUAUUUUCCAUAGUAAAUCUCUCCAUAAUGUAUUUUGGCAUGUAUUAUUCUUAGCUAUAAGUGGCUUUUCCCUUGCCUUAUUUAUGUAAUUAGAGAGCUAUAAUUAUGAAUAUAUUCAUGUACUGUGAGUGCUGUCAACCCGCCCCUAUUUCUACUGUCAGCACUUUUUGAAGGCGCUAAGCGUCCCUUGUGCCGGCUCCGGCAGUCUCUUGCCAGGGUGUAACGCUGUACCACGCAGAGGGCAUCCAUUGUCUCGUACACGCCACACCCUUCUCCACAACUCCUACAUAAAUCUAAAUAUACAUAUUUUUAUACGUUCACCUUUGACAUUCACCUGAAAAUCACAGAAACUCACCACGAGUGACUUUACCUACUACAUAAAGAUUUUUUUUUAUGAUAUUUGCCUGAGAACGUUCUCCUAAGAAUCUGCCUGCUGGUAGGGCUUCUGGAGCUCGGGCUAGUAAACCGCGUGCCACAAGCCAUGCUUCCCUUACCAAGCCCACCAACCGCUCCACUUCCAUUUCCGUGAGUAUCUUGACGGUUAGCGGGUUAACAGCUGUUCUAACGUUGCCUACCCCAGACCUCGCGAGGCCACGCUUACCGUAAUCCCUAGCUUCUCGUGCCUCGCCGAGGACCACCAAGCUUAUGGUUAAGAGACACAGUACUAUACUCGCCGCGCUCACCCAUUUGUAGAUAGUCAUGAAAACAUCGAUAGAAGGCUUCGGUGUCACCAGCCGUUCCUCCUCUACCAGCAGCUGAUGGAGAGAUUCCUCGUAAGAACCGCGGAAAAGGUUACUGCUGGUGUUCAUCGCCUUCCAAGUCACCCCCAUGUCCACAAGGUUUGCUAUCACGGAUGUUGUUAAUGUUGCUGCUGACUUCAUUAAUAAGAAC